rnacentral:rRNA from 1 species
GUGCCAGCAGCCGCGGUAAUACCGGCAGCACGAGUGAUGGCCGAUAUUAUUGGGCCUAAAGCGUCCGUAGCCGGCCGAACAAGUCCGUUGGGAAAUCGACGUGCUCAACGCGUCGGCGUCCGGCGGAAACUGUACGGCUUGGGGCCAGAAGACCUGAGGGGUACGUCCGGAGUAGGAGUGAAAUCCCUUAAUCCUGGACGGACCACCGGUGGCGAAAGCACUUCGAGAAAACGGAUCCGACAGUGAGGGACGAAAGCCAGGGUCUCCAACCGGAUUAGAUACCCCAGUAGUCC